UAGAGCUUUGUCGUCUACGGUGGUAUAAGGCGAUAUAGGUAUUAUACCGUCUACCAUUGCUGAGAUCAUGCCGCAAUACAUAAAACUUCGUUGGUGUUUGCAUUUUUCUGCAAAUUUGGCCAUCUUGCCGAGGAACUGUCAAGAACUGGCAAGUGUGCGUCUUAUGAGAGCUUCUCAGCUUCAUUUAGUACCAACACUGACAGAAUCAGAAAGAAACAAACACACAGCAUUACCUUGAGGACUGAAGAACAGUAUCAGUACACGAAUAUGAGUUAAUGAAAAGAAUGAAAUGUUAACAUUACUUCUAGAAAAUUCUUACUAGAGAAUCACUUCACUAUCUUGAAGUCAGAUUCAUUACACAACACAUAGAUGUUUCAAGUCAGAUUCAUUACACAUCGUAGAGAAUCUUCAAGUCAUAAUUUUUAACAGAAAACAACAACAAAAAAUAAAUCAGAACAUGUAGUUUAAAACCAAAUCUGCUUUUAUGAGACAUGCAUAGAAAAAUCGAAAAGA